AGUGAACGCUGGCGGUAGGCCUAACACAUGCAAGUCGAACGGCAGCACAGUAAGAGCUUGCUCUUACGGGUGGCGAGUGGCGGACGGGUGAGGAAUACAUCGGAAUCUACUUUUUCGUGGGGGAUAACGUAGGGAAACUUACGCUAAUACCGCAUACGAUCUACGGGUGAAAGCAGGGGAUCUUCGGACCUUGCGCGAUUGAAUGAGCCGAUGUCGGAUUAGCUAAUUGGCGGGGUAAAGGCCCACCAAGGCGACGAUCCGUAGCUGGUCUGAGAGGAUGAUCAGCCACACUGGAACUGAGACACGGUCCAGACUCCUACGGGAGGCAGCAGUGGGGAAUAUUGGACAAUGGGCGCAAGCCUGAUCCAGCCAUACCGCGUGGGUGAAGAAGGCCUUCGGGUUGUAAAGCCCUUUUGUUGGGAAAGAAAAGCAGCAGGUUAAUACCCCGCUGUUCUGACGGUACCCAAAGAAUAAGCACCGGCUAACUUCGUG
rnacentral:rRNA from 1 species